CCAUUUCAACUGGAUCCACUGAUGCAAGAGGCAGCCGAGUCAUCUUAUUCAAUGUACCCAUCUACUACUGCUAGAAGCCCAUGAGACCUAUUGAUAGAAAUGAUGUGUAGCUGCACUACAGCUUCUCCAGUUCUAUCAUUUGCAGCUGUAAGGUGACACUGUAUUGAAUUUUUGAGCUCUAAGUGCUUUCAUCCUGCUUCUUCACACAGGCAAGCUACAAAAUGUUCAUUGCUUUUCAACACUUCAGCCUCUGCAAGUGAAAACUCAGAUAUAUAGCAAUUAUUGUGAACUGGAAACUUGGCUGUGUCAGAAUUCAGCUUGACUCAAAGAAAGAGAACUUUCUGGUGCCUUUCUAUCAUUCUGAGCUUGACUGCAGUGAAUGCGAGUAAAGACCACUCACAAAGCCUGGAGGCUGAGGAAGGUGCUCACAGAAAUAUGGAAUCCUCAGCAACAUACUCCAAGUCUGAUCUACUGUAAUGACAGACAAAUAGAAAGUGUGUGAAAUUGUGUCAUGUUGUUUCUCUUGUCUGUGGGCUGGGGAAGCUGGAACUAGGUAAGACAUUUUUAUGUUUUCCUGUUUUUUCCGUUUAUACAGCUCAGUCCAGCUGAAUAUGUUGACAUGACUCACACUAGUGCCAACCUCGCAUGCACUGUUACUGCCUCACUACAUCUGAGUCCCAGAGAAAUGUCGAAAGAAUCAAGGCUGUUACAGGGGUCAGCAGGUCUCAUUGUCUCUUUAAUGGUGUUGGUUUGGACAUGCCUUUACCAAUUAACUAAUUGAUCAACUGAUGAGACAGAGAGUGAAGCAGGGCUUUAUAGUAUGUGCAGAAUUUACAUGAGAAAGUUAUGAAAGUAAACCAUCACAGGACUUUUAAUUUUAGCCAUCUUAGUUGGCUAGAUUUCAGUCCUGGAUGUGCUCAGGAUAGCUAACACCACCCCAGUACACGUGAUGAGUGACACAAGUAAGAUGAAUCACUUCUUAAGGGUUCACUGCCUCACUUGCUUAGAGAAGUAUCCACCACUAUAAUACAACAGCUAUGAACCUAUGAACAUUGUAACAAAUCCCAGAACAGAAAAUCAGAAAAAUAUUGUUAAUAUAUAUGCAAUAACAGUUUCAAAUUAUGUAUAUUCCCAUAUGUGUAACAGAGCACAUAGGGAAAAGUACACAGUACUUAAAGCACACAGUAAAUAAAUUGGGGAACACUGGAAAUGAACCAUAUUGUGGCAAUUUUAAUUGCCUUUUAAGGAUUAGUUUUUUAGUCUGUUCCCUUUGUUGCCCUAGUGUUUAAGAGAAAAUGUAAUAAAAAUUGUCUGAUUUGACACUGUCAAAUAACUUGCUAUUUGCAGCUAACAUGAUGAGCUCCCAGAGGGUUUUUUGAAGAAAUGCUUCAAAUAUGUAUCAAAACAAGAAGAAAAUUCCUCAAAGAACUUGUUUGACUUAAAGUGUCACUAAAUCAAACUUAACGGAACAUUGGCCAGUUUUUUAAACUGUAGUAAGUUGAAAGACUUUGUAAAUCUGCUUGGAGGAUCACUUGCUGUAAUUUAUUUUGUUAAUUAUAGAAAAGUUCUCACAGAGAUCAUGGUCAAAGUGAACUCCCCUGUACUGUGCAACCUCAUUUUGUAUGGUUGCUGAAACAUAUUUUGCAUCCUGAAUUCCAUAAUUUCAGAGAUCUCUCUGUUUCUCCUGCUCUUGUGUGCUAGCCAUAGAUUUCAUUUCCUCAGACCUUUCCUUCUCUUGCUACUGACUCUUAAUUUCAUUAGUGGCUAACAGUAUUACCUUAAUUUCAGGAGCACGUGGCGAUUCAAUCACAAGUGCUUAAGAGACUGAUUGUCAAUCAUCCCCAUCAUGUGCUCAAAUCAGCCCUUGAUCCUCUCCCAACUUGUGGAGCACUUUGGGUCUUUGGUCCUGACUCAGCACCCACUGCCCAGUUGCCUUUGAUGCAAACCCAGAUGCUGGACUUUGUGAUUCAUGAAAUACAGUAACAGCACACUGAUAUUUGAAACUUUACAGUAAUUAGUAAAGAAAAAGUAAAAGUAGAUGAAAACAAUAUCAAGUGGAUGCCACAAAAAUAUUUCAUUUUAAAUAUCCUGGAUAAGAUAUCAGAAAUUCUUCAGAAAACAGUCUAAGCACUUAACAUGCUUCCUGAGGAAGGGAAGUGGAGGGAGAUGUACUGAUCUUUUCUCUGUGGUGGCCAGGGAGUGGCCUGAAGUUGUGUCAGGGGAGGUUUAGGAUGGGUAUUAGGAAAAGGUUCUUUGAGAGUGUUGUGCACUGGAACAGUUCCCCAGGGCAGUGGUCACAGCACCAAGGCUGACAGAGCGCAGUAAGCAUUUGGACAAGGCUCUCAGACACAUGGUGUGACUCUUGGGGCAGUCCUGUGCAGGGCUAAGAGUUGGACUGGAUGAUUCCUCUGGUUUUCUUCCAGCUCAAGAUAUUCUGUGAUUCCAUAAGGUACACUGUGUGCUAAUAUUGGAAAUUACUCAUAGAAUUCCUUCUGUAAUACCAUUUUUUUUUGAGAAAUAUACUCUGGAAAGAUAUGGUUUUCAAUCAAGAAUUGAUGUUGAAUGAUGUUUAAUGAUGGUUCAUUGGCUCAUUCUGCAGAUUGCCUGACUCUUCAGUUUUCUAAUUAGUUAUUACCUUCCUGAAUUUGCAGAACUUUUUUUUCACUUAUCCCCACACUGAAUAUAUAUUUUUUUUUAACAGAGCAGGACUUAUUCCAAAUUCUUUCCCACAGUUCAGUCUGGUAGAAAAAAAGGACUAAUGAAAUCUUUAAAUUUGUAAAAGAAUUAAGAAGCCUUAGAUCUUCAUAUAUAACACUGAGAUGCUGCUCAUGAAAUCCAUAAUUUUUAAAGAAUGUUGAAAAAUUGGGGCAGAUGAAGGAAAAAAGCUAUUGACAUGUUCCUAAGAUUAGAAAGUAUCUUGCUGUGAGGAACUGAGCUCAAUCCGUUCACUUUAUCUGAAAUAAAAUUGGGAUGUCACUUGAUUGCAACCUAUGAGUAUAUAGUGGUUAACAAAAAGGACCUAAAUUCAGCAGGGAAAGACAUAAUUAUAUCCUGCUAGCUGAACCAGGAUUUCUUGCAUCAGAAAUUUGGGACCACUUUUUAACAAUGGUGAUAAUUAAAUGAUGGAAAAAAUUACUAUAGGGUUACUAAAUUAACCAUCUUUAAAGUCCUCAGCAUGGCUAGAAGGAUUAAUAAUGUAGGAUAUUCUGCAUUUCUUCCAGCUGAAAUCCUGCUGGUUUGGGGAGGAGGAGGAUGCUACUGUCUCCCUCAUACUUCUUGUAGUAAAUGUGCCAAAGCCAAAUUGGAUUGUUUUCUCAAAAUUUUCCCUUAAUUAAACACCAACUACUGCAGUUGAACAGAGGGAUACAUGAUUGAGAUCUAAUGACCUGUGAUAUGGAGCACAACAAACUAAAUCAAUGAGCUUUUGUAUUUUGAUAUGCAAAUCUGCAGACUUCAUGCAGAGUUUUGCCAUCUGGAGUAGCAAUGUAACUCUGCUGACUGUGGGCUUGUUUUUCCUCCUCAUUUUGUGAGAAUUGCCUGCCUUAAACAAUAUUGGAGUUGAUGCUGUUCAACCGGGUUAGGGUUGAAUUUUUUUUCCCCACAUGUUGCAUUUGUGAGUGGGAAGGUUGUCAUAAUUUUUGGUGCAUAAAAAGAUCUUAAUAUAGUUUUCUGUAGUUGUUAUGGAAUCAUAAAAGAGUUUGUGUUGGAAGAGACCUUUUAAAUGUCAUCAAGUUGAGCUCCCCUUCAAUGAGCAGGGACAUGACCAAGUAGACUCUUAGAGACCCUAACCUUGAAUGUUUUCAGAAAUGGAGCAUCUACCACCUCCUGGGACAACUUAUUGUAAUGUGUUUCCUCAUUUAAAAAAAACCCAAAAAACCAAAAAAUCAAACUUCUUUCAUAUACAUAAUCAAAAUUAACCCUCCUUCAGUUUAAUACCAUUACCCCCUGUCCUAUUGCAAUAGGCUGUGGUAAAAUGUUUGUCACCAUCUUCCUCGGAGGGCCCCUGCAGGUACUGAAAGGCUGCUAUGAGGUCUCCCAGGAGCCUUUUGCUCACCAGGCUGAAGAAGCCUGAUUCUCUCUGCCUGUGUUCAUUCCUCGUCAUGUUAAUAUAACUUUUAGAAAAUAAACAUUCCUAUUCUUACAGUACAGCUUUUCAUCCGUUUAAAGUGCAAAAUUGCCAUGGCAGCCCAAGUAUCAGAAUUUCAGAAGGCAUGAAAUCUGCACUUGUUCUGUGUGCAGGCCUUAAUGAAAUGAGAUGGGCUAAUGAUGAGUAAACAUGACACAAAAACAGUUUUAUGUAUCUAAGGUUUCCCAUAUCCAAGUGUCCUAUGUUGCUGAUUAGCUGUGUUAUAUACCAAUUAGUAUAUAACUGAUUUUGUUUCCAAAACAAAAUCAAUCAAACAAGACAAUUCCUAACUUGUAAAGAUCAAAUUAAUGUGGUAUUCCAAACAGGAAUGAGUGUUUUUAUAACUGUCAUAAACACUGUAAUUUGAAUUAUCAUAGCUCUGCAUUAUAAUAUCUUGCUACCUGAUUUCUUGUUACCUAUGGGAAAUAUAUGUACAUUCCCUCAUGCUCAGAACCAUGAAUAAAAACAUAAUGUACGUUAAAAAUGAGGAGAAAUUUUAAAAAUUUAUUUCAUUCCAUACUGACAGAAAAAAACUCACUUUAGAAAUUCUGAAUAGCAUAUUUUGAAAUUAAGCUUUUAACAUAUUUUGUUUCAUUGUGGAGCAUAUGAUUUUAUGUCAUAUCAUGAGACAGAGAAUAUUUUUUAAUAUAAGACAUUAUAUAAGUGUGCUUGAAAUAGGAAGGUAAAAAAAGGUCAAAUCAAUUAAACAAAUCUUCUUGACCUCUUAAUAUAAAAUGCUUUGAUGAUCUAUUGAAAUGAAAUGGAAGUUUGUGUUUAUCUAUUAGUUUAUAUGUUUUUCUAUUAGCUUACCUUAAAUACAAAGAGAUAGUAGUUAUAUAAAUUUGUAUGAAAUCUAGAUGUUAUCACAUAUUUCACACUAAAAUAAAAAGAGAGAUCAUUAAAAUGGAAAAACAGCUAUGGUAAUAUUGUUCUGUCAAGUAAAAGA